GCACCGGUGGUGUAUGGUACACGCGUCAGAAUCCUAGCUAUGGCACAUAUUCCGCUAUACCCUGACGAGCUCGGGGUUCGACUCCCCGCCGGUGCA